CCCCCCCCCCCCCCCCCCCCCCCCGGCCGGGAGGAGCGGCCGGCGGGGCUCUGCCCACCCGUGCGAUGAGAGGGGCCGAGCUCAGCUCUGCCACCAGAAUGGCUUUUUCCACCCCAAAAGUUUGCCGGGGCAGCGGGACGGGCGCUGGCGGUGCCAGGCUUUGGGGUGUCCCUGGGGAACCCGGGGGAAAGGGAGGCAGCAGCCCCGGCUCCAGACCCGGCACCAGGGGGGAAACUGAGCCACGGCGGGGCCCCCCCCCCCCCCCCCCCCCCCCCCCCCCCCCCCAGGGGGGAAACUGAGCCACGGCGGGGUGACCCCACACGCGUCCCCCUCUGUCUGGGGACAGCACCCUUGGCCCAGCACCAAACCUGGAGCCCUCGGCAUCCCCGUGGGGAAACUGAGGCAGGGAGCCGCAGGGCUGGGGGUGAGGGGAGCCCCAAAAUCCAUUUGGGAGCCCCGAGCAGGCGCUCACACCCGUGUGCAAGGGCUGUGUGUGUGUGUGUGUGUGUAGCUCUGCAGGGUGUGCGCUGACGUGCCCGUCACAGCCUCACUGCAGGGGCUGUGCGUGUGCACAGGCACGGCACACACCCCUUCACACCGUGCUGCAGGUGUGCUCACACAUCUGUAUGGCCACACAUCUGUAUGGCCACACAUCUGUAUGGCCACACAUCUGUAUGCACACGCACGGCCUUGCUGCAGGGUGGCUCCGUGUGUGUGUGUGUGCCAGUGUCACUGUGUGUGUGUGUGCCACUGUCACUGUGUGUGUGUGCCAGUGCCACUGUGUGCCACACAUCUGUAUGGCCACACAUCUGUAUGCACACGCACGGCCUUGCUGCAGGGUGGCUCCGUGUGUGUGUGUGUGCCAGUGUCACUGUGUGUGUGUGUGCCACUGUCACUGUGUGUGUGUGUGCCAGUGCCAGUGUCACUGUGUGUGUGUGGCUGUGCCAGUCCCUGUGGCUGUGCCAGUGUUUGUGUCACUGCAGCACGUGUGUGUGCCCAUGCACAGCCUGGCUGCAGGAGGUGUUUGUGUGUGUGCCCAUGCACAGCCUGGCUGCAGGAGGUGUUUGUGUGUGUGCCCAUGCACGGCCUGGCUGCAGGGGGUGUCUGUGUGUGUGCCCAUGCACGGCGUCACAGCAGGACGGGCUCGUACGCACAGCCCUGCUGCAGAGGGUGUUUGUGUGCUGUGCACAAGUGCAGCACCGCUGCAAUGGUGGGGGGUGUGUGUGUGUGUGUGCAGGCACAAGCACAGCUGUGCUGCAGUGGGGCUGUCUGUGUGCACAGGUGCAGCUGUGCAGUGUCUGUGUG
rnacentral:lncRNA from 1 species